CAGCAGCCGCGGUAAUACGUAGGGCGCGAGCGUUAAUCGGAAUUACUGGGCGUAAAGCGUGCGCAGGCGGUUAUAUAAGACAGAUGUGAAAUCCCCGGGCUCAACCUGGGACCUGCAUUUGUGACUGUAUAGCUAGAGUACGGUAGAGGGGGAUGGAAUUCCGCGUGUAGCAGUGAAAUGCGUAGAUAUGCGGAGGAACACCGAUGGCGAAGGCAGCCCCCUGGGCCAACACUGACGCUCAUGCACGAAAGCGUGGGGAGCAAACAGGAUUAGAUACCCCCGUAGUCCCUGUCCCUUAUAC
rnacentral:rRNA from 1 species